GCGCAGCAGUCGAGAAUACUUCACACUGUGCGAAAGCACGAUGAGGGAAUCCCAAGUGCUUGCACGUAAGUGUAAGCUGUUUCUCUGUUUAAAACGCAGAGAGAGUAAGGGCUGGGUAAGACGGGUGCCAGCCGCCGCGGUAAUACCUGCAGCUCAAGUGGUGACCGUUAUUAUUGGGCCUAAAACGUCCGUAGCCGGUUUAAUAAAUGCCUGGGUAAAUCGUGUAGCUUAACUAUACGAAUUCCGGGUA
rnacentral:rRNA from 1 species